UUUAAUUUGAAAUUCUUGAUUUUUUUGUUGUUCUUGUACUUGAGAAGCUAUAUAUAAUAAUUCACUCAAUACUAAUCUUAUUCUUCUAGUAGACUCACUGCGUUCAAAUUCCAAAGCAAGACCACUUUGUAGUGACUGAAUAAUAUUGUCAAGACCUGUUUUCUUUGUUCUACACAUUCUUUUGUUACAUCUAAUGGAGAUAUAAGACUCAUUCGAACUAAACAUGGUAAAAUUGGUCGUAUUUCUUUAUGAGAACAUACAGCUAAAACCGGUAUGUCUACAUUUUGUAUUGCAGUAAAAAUCCGUGGUGAUACACGGGCACUUUCUUGCAUGAUUAUUAUUUAUUUGUUAUUGUUUUAAAUUGAUUAAAUGUAAAAAUUAUAUACUAUAAAGUAAAUUUAUGAAUUAAUGUAAUUAUACUUUUAUUUGUCACGAUAUAUAUUUAUAUUAAAAUUAUAUUUAUAAAUAAAAUUGUAUUGCAAAUAAAA